CCUACGGGCGGCUGCAGUGGGGAAUAUUGCGCAAUGGGCGCAAGCCUGACGCAGCAACGCCGCGUGAAGGAAGAAGGCUUUCGGGUUGUAAACUUCUUUUAUCAGGGACGAAGCAAGUGACGGUACCUGAUGAAUAAGCCACGGCUAACUACGUGCCAGCAGCCGCGGUAAUACGUAGGUGGCAAGCGUUAUCCGGAUUUACUGUGUGUAAAGGGCGUGUAGGCGGGAAAGCAAGUCAGAUGUGAAAACCAUGGGCUCAACCUGUGGCCUGCAUUUGAAACUGUUUUUCUUGAGUACUGGAGAGGGAGACGGAAUUCCUAGUGUAGCGGUGAAAUGCGUAGAGAUGAGGAGGAACACCAGUGGCGAAGGCGGUCUGCUGGAAAGCAACUGACGCUGAGGUGCGAAAGCGUGGGGAGCAAACAGGAUUAGAUACCCGGGUAGUC
rnacentral:rRNA from 1 species